AAAUGUCUAUUAUCAUCUCUUACCAAAGUAGAGAUUCUCAUUCUAAAAGUACCAUCGUUAAAUGCAUAAGUGCAUUAAUAUGUUUUGCUAGCUAUGUAUGGUUAUAAUAUCUUUCACUUGAGCUUGUUGUCAUGAUAUAACCUUUGUCAAGCGAAGAGACAUUGGAAUGAGUUUAAAGAAAUAUUUCAGGUAUAAACGAUAUUUGAUUAUAUUUUACUAACCCAUCAAAACAAGUUUGGUUAGUCUUGUAGAUGCAGGAAUGUAACGAAACAUAGUCGUGGACGUAUGAUAAUUUUUGGGAAGAGGCACCUAAAGUCUCGUUAGAAGAUUAUACAACAUUGCUCAAAUAAAGGAUUGCACAUUAAGGGAUCAAGCAACAAAUCAUUCGCUACAAAGGCUUUAUUCGACUUUCAAAGAAGAUGGACAUACGUCACUUAAAGGACACAUGUUAAAAUGAGGGGGAGACUUAUUCAAGUUGCACUCUUUUUCCCUUGACUAAGUUUGUCCCAUUGGGUUUUCUUAGUCAGGUUUUUAAUGAGGCAACAUACCUGAUCCAAAAGUAUCAGGAGGAGAAAAUACGCGCUGCACUCUUUUUCCCUUCGCUGAGGUUUUAUCCCACUGGGUUUUCCUAGCAAGGUUUUUAACGAGGCAGCAUCACCAAACGUAUUAAAGGUAUGUGGAUAGUCAAGGGGGAGUGUUAUGAAUGCAUCAUUUAUAAGGUGACUUUCCACAUACACAACUCCUAUAACUCCCAUGUCUUUAAGUUUUUUUUGUAUUAAUGUAUAUGCCUAUAUAUAGUGGCAUUUGUAUAUGUUGUAGAGAUCUCAAUGAAUAACAAUUCUCUAUUCUAUCUUUCUCUCUAUGUUGUUGGGUCGAUUUCAGUUCUGCAUGUGACAAAUGAGUAUAUGUUUCUUUGGUGCGACUGUAUAGUGUUUUUGUUAUAA
rnacentral:lncRNA from 1 species